GUUCCCAUCGAUUAGUGGUCAGAUCGUCACGUUGUGGCAUUGCUGAAAUAGGCGAACAAAACCGUGGAGACGGGGGCUCGACUCCCCCUGGGAACA